ACUUACAGCAGACUACAAGUGCCAAAAAAUAAAGUAAAGCUUCACUUCCUGUCUGUUCCCGUUGGCAAAAAAUAGGCAUCCUGAAAAAUUCAAUUUCCUUACAUUUCAUUCUGUCAUCGGAAUUAAGUCGUUCUAAUAUAGAUACGGGGAAACACUGAUGAGGCCCAGAAAGCCUAACUGGUCUACAGAGCAGAAGCUGCUGUUGGUGCAGCUAGUGAAAGCCAGAAGAGAAGGUCUACUGACUGGCAGGCAUUCUUGCCGUGAGACCGCAACCAACCGGAGAUGGGCAUGGGAUGAAAUUGCAGAGGAAAUCUCCACUGCCCACCCUGAUGUACCCCGUACAGGAAAGGAGUGUGAGAGACACUGGUUUAUAGAGCAAGCCAAAGCCAGAGAGGCUAUGGUAAACCAAAAGUCACCUACAGAUCCCCUGUCCCAGCUGAAGAGAAGAAGCUCUAUAGCAUGAAGCUGCCACCACCGUGCUUCACUGUGGGUUUUAUUUUUCAAAAAUAAAUAUUUAAAAAAAAUUAUAAGGUACUGCGUACUCUUUAAGUAUUAUUGGUUUGUUUGUGUGUUUGUGUGAGAGAAUGCCAGCUGGACUAGUGAAUAGAAUAACAUCUGAUUUAUAAAACAAGGGACAUGGGAUGCCAUGUAUGAGUGUUUUCAGUGCAUGUCACUCACCAACCAGGCUAAUAAAGGAGCUUUGUUUCAGUGGAGGUAAGCUAGUUUUUGUCAGUGCAUUCAUUAUUGCUUGGUGCCGAAUCCAACCCUAGAUAAUAUAAUUUUUUAUACCAGAACGUAAUAAAAUUUUACAUCUUGUUAAGUCCAUUAUGCUUCUUCUUCUUCUUUCGGCUUUUCCCUUCAAGGAUCGCCACAGUGAAUCAUCUCUCUCUGCCUAUCCCUAUCUUCUGCAUCCUCAACACUUACACCCACUAGCUUCAUAUUCUCAUUUAUUACAUUCAUAUACCUCCUCUUUGACCUUCCUCUUUUCCUUCUGCCUGGCAGCUCCAUGUCCAACAUUCUCCUACCAAUAUACUCACUCUCCCUCCUCUGGACAUGUCCAAACCAUCUUAAUCUGGCCUCUCUAACUUUGUCCCCCAAACGUCCAACAUGAGUUGUCCCUCUGAUGUACUCGUUCCUAAUCCUGUCCAACCUUGUCACUCCCAAAGAGAACCUCAACAUCUUCAGCUCUGCUGCCUCCAGCUCUGACUCCUGUCUCUGUCUCAGUGAUACUGUCUCUAAACCAUACAGCAUGACCGGUCUCACCACUGUUUUGUACACCUUCCCCUUGAUUCUCGCUGAAAUUUUUCUAUCACACAGAACUCCCGACACUUUCCAACCUGCCUGCACUCGCUUCUUUAUGUCUUAUGUUAAGUCUAUUAUGCUAAUUUAGCUAAUUCACUUCCAUAAAAUAACAUAUGAAAGUCUCUACCUUUUCAUAAAACUACCACAAACAACUGCAAUGUAUUUCUUCUGAUUUGCUCCCACACAGCUUAAUUGUAAUUUUUUCACCUUUCAGUCAGUCCAAAAUAAAUAAUGCCUUGAACAAUGCUAUCCAUCAAAAAAAACCCUGCUUUUUCUUCGCAGAGAUUUGUGAUUGUCAGUCACAGGCACAAAUCAUGCCAUUUGUAACGUGAAAAAGUGAGAGGGACAGAAUUACUUGCCUGCAAAAAUGCCAGCAUACAACCAUAACACAAACGUAUUUAAUAUUGCUUCACUAAACAUGAAGGUAAAAGUGCAAAACUCAUCAGAUAAGGUUAAAACAUAAACAGUUUCCUAGUUUUAAUAAGCACAUUUUCUAUUAUUUAUAUUAAUAGUGAUUUACUGUGGGAAUGUAGGCACUAUAUAGGAUAUACAGUGUCGUUGUUAUACCCUGUGUAUAGAGCAAAUAGUGGAGGGAUGCCAACUGCGAUUCAGCUUAACUUCUAGGUUUUGAAAGUUACUUGCUUGUAAUUGCUGGUUUAUAUAGCUUAUAAUGUUAUGCUAAAGAGUGUGAAUUUCAGCUGGUUAUCUAGUGAGCAUUAACCCAGAUUGAAAACUGAGGCACAGUUACAAAUUAACCAGUCAGUCCGGCCAAAAAUAGGUCUCUCACUGCUAAAGAUUUGGAAUAGCACACUCAGCACAACAUGAAAGCCGCUCCACCCUCAGGUCCUUAGAGUGUUUGAGUUCGUGUUUAGCAGCGGUUCCAAUUUAAAACUGAUUUCUGAAUUUUUAAACUUUCAUGACAAUAUUGAGUAGAUGUCUCCUUUUGAUUUGAAUGUCUGUGGAUAUAUGUGUACUUUUUUGUUGCAGAACAUGCCAAUCCAGUGACCAAACUAGUGCUGGAAAUCCUCAAGCUACAGAAAAAGGACAUAGAGUUUAGAGACAGGCUUGACGAAGACAGUACAAGCUGUCAAGAAGGGGAGGAGGAACAAAUGGAGGUGAAAUAUGUUCCAACUGCAGUAACACCUUUUAUAAACAUUGAGGUGCCACUAAAUCACACAAAUAAUAAUAGUGAAGACAAUGCUCCGGCCAGUCCUCUAUGCCCACUAUCACCUUCUGCAGAAAAAAAGACACUAGAGAUAUCUGUUCUUCGCCGCCAAGAACGCGUGUUACAAUUACAGGAGGAAUACUAUUCCCUCAAAAUCAAGCAUCUCAAAGCACGGAUGUUGAUGAACCUUUGAUGGGACAGUGAUGCCAUGUGGAAAAAAAAGACUGUUUUUCUCUUUUAGAAAACACUAGGAAUUUUAGGUCUAGAUUUCUGUUGUCAUAGCUGUGGCUUCGAUUACCUGUUGAAUCAAAAGCUGAUCAUAUGGACCACAAUUCUGUUGAUUUAGUCUUCAGAGGAACAGAAUGAAUCCUUGAUGUGUUGUACCCUGUAUGUGUGUACUUCAUGAGAAAUUGUCUGGCACAGUAUAAUCCAGUAUUUGAUAUGACACCUUUUCACCAGUAGAUGACAAGAUAGUAUUUUAUCUUCUAACUUGUAACACUGCAUUUACAAUGUGGACAUCCAGGUAAGCACUGUAUAGACACUACUGUUAUCUGCUGAUCUGAGGUCUGUCUGCCUAAUUAGAGCUAAUAAGGUUUAAAUAUCCAACUGGUUUUAGAUGUGAACUUAUGAGCAAUAUCUACUUAAAGGCAGGAGACAGAAUUCGAAAGGUUUUCGAGGUCGAACAAGGAGUCUGUAGUUUGCAGGCCAAGUUUAGUGCUGCACUGACAAACACUUUAAAAUAAUAACAUAUAAAAACUAUAUUUCUCUUUAUGUUCUCUGUGAGAGGCUGUGAUGCUAUUUUUGAUGUUAUAGGUGUUCCACUGCAAAUCUUGUUAAAUAAUGGUCCUGUUCAGACCUGGUAUUUACACCAUCUCAGGUGAUACAAUCAUAAGCUGUCAACUGAGAAUGAUAACUGUUCACACACCUGCUAAUUCUGUGUUUCAAUUUUGUGUUCAGUGAACACUUGGAAUUUGUUAGUCCCUGGGUUGCCAAUUCUGUCAAAAGCAAGCCAACAUCAGUUCAAAACCAAACCUAAAAAUACUAGCCAAUGCCAAAUGAAAACAUUUUCCAGUGUUAUUUCCUAAAUAAACCAUCAAACACUGAGGGUCUAUAAAA